rnacentral:misc_RNA from 1 species
AAGUCGUAACAAGGUUUCCGUAGGUGAACCUGCGGAAGGAUCAUUAUUGAAUAAAUCUGAUGUGGUUGUAGCUGGCUGCCCUUGGUAGCACUGUGCACACCCGUCACCUUUAUCUUUCCACCUGUGCACAAAAUGUAGUUCUGGAUCUCCCUCGCUGAAAAGCGGAUACAGAAGUUGCUGUUUGCUAUCUAAAUAUGAUGGCCAGCUCCCUCUGAAUUUCCAGGUCUACGCUUUUUAUAUACCCCAAAUGAAUGUUAUGGAAUGUAUUCGUUGGGCUUAUGCCUAUAAAAAUCUAUACAACUUUCAGCAACGGAUCUCUUGGCUCUC